rnacentral:lncRNA from 1 species
AUCAAGGUGUGGGAGAAAAAGCAGACUCCUGUUCUGUAGCUUUGAGAAUUACCGACUAUUCAGAAUCUCCCUGACACCUGGAUACAGUGGGGCAGGUUAAAAAUGUUGCUUCCUGUGAAUUCGAGGCUUUUGCUUUUUUCAACAUUCGAGGCAGGCUUCUCAUAUACAAAAAGUACUUCAAAGGCUUGACCCACAGAGAAGUAUGGAAGCAGCUGAUGAACUUUGCACUCAUAGCUACUGAUGUACGCAAGUUAUCUCUAUGUGGCUGAUAAUGCCGGUGAAACUGUUAAUGUGGGAAGGCCCUUUCUUGCUGGCUUCUUGAGCUCCCAGAUUCGACUUCAGAUGGUGAGGCAGCUCAUUGCUUCUUCAACAGGGAUAAAUUGGCAACCAUUUGGAAAUAUUAAUAUGUCACUUCUUACUUUACAGAUCUCUGUGGAGGGGAAGUGUUCACUAUAACUGAUACUACAUAUAUAAAUAAUUUCAGAGCUGUUGCUUUAAAAUAUAUUGAGAAUCCUUAAAGAGUAAAUAGAAAUCUUUCCAGUCUCCAAGUAAAUAAUAAUGUUUAGUACAUUUAUGUUACAUUGUUGUUCUGAAGAACAAAAAUAUGCUCAAAUACUGGGGGAAUGGGAUGUUUUAGUCCAUUGAUUAUUUAUAGUUUCAAUCUUUCUGGUUAGAUUUUUAUAGAAUGCAAGAGCUGCUUAUCUGCUUGUGUUACCAAUCAAAUAAACUGAUUGUGUAUAUCAAUCAAAUAAAAUAAUUAUUACUGUUAAUCUAAUUCACUUUUAGCCUCUGCAACCACUAAAAUAAUGCCUUUUUAAUUUUUUUGUGGUUGAAAAAUAAUGCAUGAAAAUUAUGUAAAAUGUGGAUGUUCUAAAUAAAAUUAUUUAAAAAUCAACCAUAAAAUGCUACCACCAGGAAUAAUGACUGUCAGUUUUGUUGCAUUGC